rnacentral:rRNA from 1 species
UACGGGGAGGAUAAGCGUCAUUCAUCUUUAAUGGGUGUAAAGGGUAUGUAGGCGGUCUUUAUUUAAAGGAUAAUUGAACAGGUAUACAAUAUCUGGAUAAAUUAUCCGUUGGUUACAAGACUAGAGUAAUAUAUAAGAAAGAGGAAUUUCAAAUGGAAGGAUGAUAUCUAAAGAUAUUUGAAGGAACUCCAAAUGCGAAGGCUUCUUUCUAAGUAAACACUGACGCUAAGAUACGAAAGUGUGGGUAGCAAAAAGG